UCAGGAUCCCCCGAGUCUCUAUCUCCCGUCCUUGAUGAACUUCCUGUAGUUCUGUUGCAGUUACAGAAUGAUGACCAAUGUUCAUAGUAAAGACACCUUUCCAAGUCCCUGUAUGAUCUCUAAGCAACCCUCCUGUAUUAAAACCAUCAAUGUUGAUUUUACACCCCCCUGAAUCUGGAGAAUGCCAGUCUAUAAGCCUCUCAGUGUGAGAAUAUUUAUCCAUCGUCCGCGGCUCUAUCAACAGUUUAACCAUCAUUGCUGUUUAACUGGGUGCCUGAUAACAUUAUAG
rnacentral:misc_RNA from 1 species